GACGAACGCUGGCGGCGUGCUUCAUACAUGCAAGUCGAACGAUAAGGUCUCUUCGGAGAUACAUAAGUGGCGGACGGGUGAGUAAUGUGUAGAGAAUCUACCCUAGAGAGGGGGACAACAGAGGGAAACUCCUGCUAAUACCCCAUAUGAGCGUACCUGAAAUGGUAUUCUUGAAAACUCCGGUGCUCUGGGAUGAGUCUGCAUCUGAUUAGCUAGUUGGGGGUGUAAUGGACCACCAAGGCGACGAUCAGUAGCUGGUUUGAGAGGAUGAUCAGCCACAAUGGGACUGAGACACGGCCCAUACUCC
rnacentral:rRNA from 1 species